CUGGUGCUGCUGGCGGGGUCGUUCCUCCGAGCUUGCCCUCCGCAGCGCGGGGAGGUUUCCCGACCCCAAGACUCGCUGGACGGACUUAGAGGACCGCUCCCUUACGGAAUACCCAUCCCUACAAUACUUCUGACUGUAUUUUCCUGUAAUUACUUGAACACACUUACAAUGUGCUGUGCUGAGUCACUUCAGUCGCGUCUGACUCUGAGACCCCACGGACCAUCGCCCGCCAGGCUCCUCUGUCCAUGGAAUUCUCUAGAAUUUACUUUCAAGAGCUUCAUUAGAUUGCUUUGUUUGUGAACUUCCAUUUUCUAACAUGAAGAUUACUGAAUUCGUUCUCUGAAGUUACAAGUCAUGUAAGCACUUUGUAUUUUACUGAAUAUAUUUUUUGGGGCUCCAAAAUCACUGCAGAUGGUGAUUGCAGCCAUGAAAUUAAAAGACGAU
rnacentral:lncRNA from 1 species